rnacentral:rRNA from 1 species
AUUGAACGCUGGCGGCAGGCCUAACACAUGCAAGUCGAACGAGUGGCGGACGGGUGAGUAAUGUCUUGGAAACUGCCUGAUGGCGGGGGAUAACUACUGGAAACGGUAGCUAAUACCGCAUACCCUCGGAUGUGCCCAGAGGGGAUUAGCUUGUUGGUGGGGUAACGGCUCACCAAGGCGACGAUCCCUAGCUGGUCUGAGAGGAUGACCAGCCACACUGGAACUGAGACACGGUCCAGACUCCUACGGGAGGCAGCAGUUGGGAAUAUUGCACAAUGGGAGCAAGCCUGAUGCAGGCAGGCCGCGUGUAGGAAGAAGGCCUUCGGGUUGUAAAGUACUUGCAGCGGGGAGGCGUUACCCGCAGAAGAAGCACCGGCUAACUCCGUGCCAGCAGCCGCGGUAAUUC